GGCCCUGUAGUUCAAUGGAUAGAAUAAGAGUUUCCUAAACUUUAGAUCUAGGUUCGACUCCUAGCAGGGCUA
rnacentral:tRNA from 1 species